rnacentral:rRNA from 1 species
UACGGAAGGUGCAAGCGUUAUCCGGAAUCACUGGGUUUAAAGGGUGCGUAGGCGGAAAGAUAAGUCAGAAGUGAAAGCUCGUCGCUUAACGACGGAAUUGCUUUUGAUACUGUUUUUCUUGAAACAGGUUGAGGUUAGCGGAAUGUGGCAUGUAGCGGUGAAAUGCUUAGAUAUGCCAUAGAACACCGAUUGCGAAGGCAGCUAACUGGACCUUGUUUGACGCUGAGGCACGAAAGCGUGGGGAGCGAACAGG